rfam:Hordeum vulgare subsp. vulgare, WGS project CAJW01000000 data, contig: morex_contig_49806
UUACUACUUCCUUCGUUCCAAAAUUAUUGUCUUAGAUUUGUUUAGAUAUAAAUGUAUCUAGUUAAAUUUUAGUAUUUAGAUACAUUCAUUUUAAAAUAAAGUUAAGACAAGAAUUUUGGGACGGAGGGAGUAUUUU